UGAGAUCAAAGAUGCAUUGGGUUUCUUGAUCAAAUGUCACCGUAUGUAAAUGAAGCCGUCAGGAGCACAAACCAGAGACAUGAUAAAGGCUUUUAAUCUUCUUGAAAAUGCCUGUCAUGAAUUGCUCAUUUAAAUAACUCAAGACACCGAGUCUAUCGAGAAAAACAUCAGUCUGUUCUGAUGAAGAGAAAACACAUCAAGCUCCUGCAGUCACACGCUUCAGGACCUGAACACUGCUUUCACUCAGGUCCAGUAUAAGAUGCUGCGAUUCUUCUGCUGUGGGAUUUUAAAUAUGACAUGGACAAGCAGCAUGGAAAAGCUUGUUUAGUUGAUGAUGAUUUCAGCACUGAUGCACCACACCUGAAGUCUUCUCAAGACAUGAAAAACUGGUUAUUCUCUAAACAUCUCGGCCUUCAUACCAUUUCAACACAUACUACUCACAACUGGCAUAUUGUGAUGUUGAUGAGUUUCAGUGAUUCCCUCGGUUUGCUUCUGAAGAGCCGUACAGCACGUGAGCUGGAUAUAGUACUUUUCUGCUGUUUCCCAAAAGAAAUCAAAUCCUAACUCUGUCUUUUAUACGGACAUGUUUCAGAGAGGCAGAAAGCACAGAUCAUCCUCCAUUAGCAGCACUGAAAGCCCGUGUUCACUAAUUCGGACAUGCACUAGUGUGUUUGUCUUCUCUGUUGAUGUCAUUUGUUCAGAUAACAACAGAAAACACAGAGAAGCAGCGGCUCUCUGGAGUUCAGAGGUCAGUCAGUGAAGCAUUAACCAGCCGCCGUAAAUCCCUCUCAAUCAUCACGGGUUUCAGCUUUGCCUCAGAGCUCAGAGUCCAGCUCCAGAGACCGAGCUGAUGUCCACUGCAGCGGCGUUCCUGAGCGAGGUCCCGGGAUGGUUUCUGUGGACGGGAGUCUUCUUCCCCGUGACGGCUCUCCUGCUGCUGCUCAUCGCUCUCCUCAGCUGGAAACUCCGAGAGACAGAGGAACAGCUGGCCGUGACACCAGACCCGUGGCAAACAGCCUAUCAUCUGUGUUACGGGCCGCGCUGCAGACACAGGACAGAGCGGACAAGACGAGCAUGAAACACACAGAACACCUGUGAAGAGUCGGUCCAGAUCACCUGAGCCAUCAGAGACGAACGAGAAGCGUGCAUGUGACCACAUCAAGCUAGAUUUAGACGCACCUCUCCUCACACGACAGACUGGAAGUCAUGAGACACACAUGCAUAUUAUUCAAAAAGAAAAGUUUCCAUGUAGUCUGCUGUACUCAUCUUCAAAUGCGUGUUGUGUUUGUAAUGACUAUCAUUACCAGUUAUGUUGAGCCUCUUCCUUUACUGUUCCAACAGCAAAAUCAUGUUCUUUACAGUAUCCUACUCAACUACAUCAGAAAUGGCUGACGACAUGAAUGUCAAAGAUGUCUGAGGACACAUCUUCACACUUAAGGCUUCAACUUUAUCAAGAGUAAUGAGCAAAUACCAGAGACAGAAAUCUCCUGUUCUGCGCUAUAUUUAAUGGAGCCGCACAGCAGGAUGAACUUAAAGAGUACGCUGUGUCACGCAGCAGGACACAAAAACAGCUUGUGUGCUCUCAGACAUCACAACACUCUCAAGGUCUUGCAAGGUUUUAGUUGUAUUUCACAGCUCUCCUUAUUCUGAUUGUUCAGUCACAGCACAGCGACUGACUGAAAUAAAAACGGCCUCGGGAGAACUUCAGUAGUACUUUUACAAUGAAUAAAAAUGGUUUGAGAAUCUCCAGUUAAAGCAAGAAAAACACAAACCAUCUAGCUCAGAAUGCAUAUGAAUAUAAAUGAAUAUUGUAAUGUUUGUGUUGUUGUAGUGGACUAUCACUUGUAUCAUGCAUACAUUUCAGCUUCCAGCCAGUCACUUUAUUUUAUUGACCAAUGCCAAUUUUUACAUGCAUCUGGAGCUUGGCGUGAAUUAAAGGUGCAUUCAGCAGUUUGGUGCUUUUUUAUUUAUUGUUUUUAGUUUUUACCCAUUAAGAAAUAAAUAGUGUUUUUGUUUAGAGUCAUCUGAAUGGUGCACGCUCACAGGAGAUGAAGAUUGCACUUAAUCAUUUCAUACACAAACCAUUUUAAUUAUAUGGUGAAUUCAGGUCAAAUGGGACACUUACGACCAUCGAGAUGAAUGGGGAAAAACCCUAUUAACCCUGGUGCAAAUCACCUCAGCGAAGCUCAUGUUGAAAUGACCCGCGGUGUUUCACUAAACGAAGGAGGAAACCUCUCGUAGAGCAGUUUGAUGUGAAGAGUGAAAAUUAGACAAUGGAACACUUAUCUUGCUUGAUCAUGAAUCAGAACCUGUAUGACCAAAGAAGCAAAAAAGCCCUAAAGCCAGAAGAAAGAGUGACUAAAAGUGUAAACAAUGGUUUGGCAGACACACUGGCAUACAGUUUAAUGACAUACGGAGAAUCCUGAGUAGUGACACCCAAGCUGCUUCUUUUGUCCUGGACAGGUAAAGGACUCAUUAUCAUGUGUAGACGCUAGCAUGAAUGUGUCACGCUGACGGAUGCUACUGCAGCAUCUAACAUCACUGCUACAACAGUGAUGCUAACGCUAACUAAACAACUACUGUAUGCACCUUGAAUUUUGGACCCCGAGUGCAACCAUCCCAUCAAACCCCCCACAAACACAAAGCUUCACACACACCCAGUCACUGAAGAUCAAGCCGUCUCACGAUUAUUAGAGAAUAAACAAAUUUUAAUUGGAAGAGUGUUACACAAAGGGUCGGGUGGGGCAUAAAAACAUGACAGAUCAUCCAAAGCUGCUUAAAAAAAAGAACAGAGUCAAUUCUACCAUUAACUGCUAUACACAGGGCUGAUGGAGCAGAUGGGAGAGAGAGAGAGAGAGAGAGAGAGAGAGAGAGAGAGAGCAGGGAGCACGGGCCUCGCUCGACCGCUAAAAACAUCAGCACUGGCAGUUCAAUCUCAUUUGUUCAUUUAAUCACAAG